GAGUUUGAUCCUGGCUCAGAACGAACGCUGGCGGCGUGCCUAACACAUGCAAGUCGAACGGAUUUGAGAAGCUUGCUUCUCAAGUUAGUGGCGCACGGGUGAGUAACGCGUAGAUAAUCUGCCUGAUGAUCUGGGAUAACACUUCGAAAGGGGUGCUAAUACCGGAUAAGCCCACGGAGUCUUUGGACUUUGCGGGAAAAGGGGGGGACCUUCGGGCCUUYUGUCAUCAGAUGAGUCUGCGUACCAUUAGCUAGUUGGUAGGGUAAAGGCCUACCAAGGCUACGAUGGUUAGCUGGUCUGAGAGGAUGAUCAGCCACACUGGAACUGAGACACGGUCCAGACUCCUACGGGAGGCAGCAGUGGGGAAUUUUGCGCAAUGGGCGAAAGCCKGACGCAGCAACGCCGCGUGAGUGAUGAAGGCUUUCGGGCCGUAAAGCUCUGUCGAGGGGAAAGAAGUGUAUUAGGGCUAAUAUCCCUGAUACUUGACGGUACCCCUAAAGGAAGCACCGGCUAACUCCGUGCCAGCAGCCGCGGUAAUAC
rnacentral:rRNA from 1 species